CGGACAAUUUUUGACUAUCAGAAACAAUUUUUUGAACAUCAGCAAAAAGACCAACAAGACUACUUCCAGGGCGUACAAUCUAACAUGCAAUCUUAUGUGGAUACCAGUUUCGGUUUAACGAAGUCUUACAUUGAUGAACAAAAUCGAAAUAUGCAGAAUCAGUUAUCCGACAGGAAAUCGCACAUGGAAACAAUUGUAGCCUCUGUACAAUGAGACGUGCCUCCUCAUACAAGUCCA
rnacentral:lncRNA from 1 species